rnacentral:rRNA from 1 species
CCUACGGGAGGCAGCAGUGGGGAAUCUUGCGCAAUGGGCGAAAGCCUGACGCAGCCAUGCCGCGUGAAUGAUGAAGGUCUUAGGAUUGUAAAAUUCUUUCACCGGGGACGAUAAUGACGGUACCCGGAGAAGAAGCCCCGGCUAACUUCGUGCCAGCAGCCGCGGUAAUACGAAGGGGGCUAGCGUUGCUCGGAAUUACUGGGCGUAAAGGGAGUGUAGGCGGAUAGUUUAGUCAGAGGUGAGAGCCCAGGGCUCAACCUUGGAAUUGCCUUUGAUACUGGCUAUCUUGAGUAUGGGAGAGGUUAGCGGAACUCCGAGUGUAGAGGUGAAAUUCGUAGAUAUUCGGAAGAACACCAGUGGCGAAGGCGGCUAACUGGCCCAUUACUGACGCUGAGGCUCGAAAGCGUGGGGAGCAAACAGGAUUAGAUACCCUGGUAGUCCACGCCGUAAACGAUGAGUGCUAGUUGUCGGCAUGCAUGCAGGUCGGUGACGCGAGCUACGACAUAAGACACUCCGCCGUCGGGAGGUACGGUCGCGAGAUAAACUACAAAGAAGUAGACGGCGUGAGACGUGCCGACGGACGACGACGAGGGAGGUUAGG